rnacentral:rRNA from 1 species
AUUGAACGCUGGCGGCAGGCCUAACACAUGCAAGUCGAGCGGAUGAAGGGAGCUUGCUCCUGGAUUCAGCGGCGGACGGGUGAGUAAUGCCUAGGAAUCUGCCUGGUCGUGGGGGAUAACGUCAGGAAACGGGCGCUAAUACCGCAUACGUCCUGAGGGAGAAAGUGGGGGAUCUUCGGACCUCACGCUAUCAGAUGAGCCUAGGUCGGAUUAGCUAGUUGGUGGGGUAAAGGCCUACCAAGGCGACGAUCCGUAACUGGUCUGAGAGGAUGAUCAGUCACACUGGAACUGAGACACGGUCCAGACUCCUACGGGAGGCAGCAGUGGGGAAUAUUGGACAAUGGGCGAAAGCCUGAUCCAGCCAUGCCGCGUGUGUGAAGAAGGUCUUCGGAUUGUAAAGCACUUUAAGUUGGGAGGAAGGGCAGUAAGUUAAUACCUUGCUGUUUUGACGUUACCAACAGAAUAAGCACCGGCUAUCUUCGUG